UGGCGGCGAGUGGCGAACGGGUGAGUAAUAUAUCGGAACGUACCCAAGAGUGGGGGAUAACGUAGCGAAAGUUACGCUAAUACCGCAUACGAUCCAAGGAUGAAAGCAGGGGAUCUUCGGACCUUGUGCUCCUGGAGCGGCCGAUAUCUGAUUAGCUAGUUGGUGAGGUAAAGGCUCACCAAGGCGACGAUCAGUAGCUGGUCUGAGAGGACGACCAGCCACACUGGAACUGAGACACGGUCCAGACUCC
rnacentral:rRNA from 1 species